rnacentral:rRNA from 1 species
GAUGAACGCUGGCGGCGUGCCUAAUACAUGCAAGUCGAGCGAAGCGGGGACGGGUGAGAAACACGUGGAUAACCUCCUAUAAGACUGGGAUAACUUAGGGGAACCGGAGCUAAACCGGGUACGUAUGGUUGGAUCCGCGCUGCAUUAGCUAGUUGGUAAGGUAACGGCUUAGCAAGGCAACGAUGAAUAGCAGACUUGAGAGGGUGAGCGGCCAAAUGGGAACGGAGACACGGUCCAGACUCCUACGGGAGGCAGCAUUAGGGAAUCUUCCGAAAUGGGCGAAAGCCUGACGGGGCAACGCCGCGUGAGUGAUGAAGGUCUUCGGAUCGUAAAACUCUGUUAUUAGGGAAGCGGUACCUAAUCAGAAAGCCACGGCUAACUACGUGCCAGCAGCCGCGGUAAUUC